UAAGAUAAAAAUUAUGACCGA
rnacentral:piRNA from 1 species